ACUUGGUGAUGUGGGCAUUUGCACAAAACAUCCCUAAAGCGCUCCCAUGUCUCGAAAAAUUUUUCACCAUCUAUUUGUGAGAAACUCGUGAUUGCCUUCCUAAGCU